UACGUAGGGUGCAAGCGUUAAUCGGAAUUACUGGGCGUAAAGCGUGCGCAGGCGGUUUUUGUAAGACAGGCGUGAAAUACCCCGGGCCGUCAACCUCGGGGAAUGGCGCUUGUGACUGCAAAGCUGGAGUGCGGCAGAGGGGGGAUGGAAUUCCGCGUGUAGCAGUGAAAUGCGUAGAUAUGCGGAGGAACACCAAUGGCGAAGGCAACUCCCCGUGGGCCUGCACUGACGCUCAUGCACGAAAGCGUGGGG
rnacentral:rRNA from 1 species